rnacentral:rRNA from 1 species
CUGUUUAUCAAAAACAUAGCCUUAAGUAUUUAUUUAAGGUAAGCCCUGCCCAGUGUAUAUUUAUUAACGGCCGCAGUACCCUGACUGUGCUAAGGUAGCGUAAUCAGUUGGCUUUUAAUUGGGGUCGAGAAUGAAUGGGUCAACGGGAAAAAGCUGUCUCCCUCUUACUUUCUUGAACUUACUUAUGGGGUGAAAAUUCCCCGGAACUGAAAAAAGACGAGAAGACCCUUAGAAUUUUAAAUACACAAGAACUUUGUUCCUGCCUUUUUUGUUGGGGCGACAGAGAAGCAAAGAACCUUCUUUCCAAAAAUUCCUCUUGACGACGUUAUUGUAAGAAAGAAAAAAUUACCUUAGGGAUAACAGCAUAAUUUAUUUAUAAGUUUGUGACCUCGAUGUUGGACUAGGAACCUAAUGACUAGCCGUCAAUGUGGAAUGUUC